GGGUUGUGAGGUUAAGCGACUAAGCGUACACGGUGGAUGCCCUGGCAGUCAGAGGCGAUGAAGGACGUGCUAAUCUGCGAUAAGCGUCGGUAAGGUGAUAUGAACCGUUAUAACCGGCGAUUUCCGAAUGGGGAAACCCAGUGUGAUUCGUCACACUAUCAUUAACUGAAUCCAUAGGUUAAUGAGGCGAACCGGGGGAACUGAAACAUCUAAGUACCCCGAGGAAAAGAAAUCAACCGAGAUUCCCCCAGUAGCGGCGAGCGAACGGGGAGCAGCCCAGAGCCUGAAUCAGUGUGUGUGUUAGUGGAAGCGUCUGGAAAGGCGCGCGAUACAGGGUGACAGCCCCGUACACAAAAAUGCACAUGCUGUGAGCUCGAUGAGUAGGGCGGGACACGUGGUAUCCUGUCUGAAUAUGGGGGGACCAUCCUCCAAGGCUAAAUACUCCUGACUGACCGAUAGUGAACCAGUACCGUGAGGGAAAGGCGAAAAGAACCCCGGCGAGGGGAGUGAAAAAGAACCUGAAACCGUGUACGUACAAGCAGUGGGAGCACGCUUAGGCGUGUGACUGCGUACCUUUUGUAUAAUGGGUCAGCGACUUAUAUUCUGUAGCAAGGUUAACCGAAUAGGGGAGCCGAAGGGAAACCGAGUCUUAACUGGGCGUUAAGUUGCAGGGUAUAGACCCGAAACCCGGUGAUCUAGCCAUGGGCAGGUUGAAGGUUGGGUAACACUAACUGGAGGACCGAACCGACUAAUGUUGAAAAAUUAGCGGAUGACUUGUGGCUGGGGGUGAAAGGCCAAUCAAACCGGGAGAUAGCUGGUUCUCCCCGAAAGCUAUUUAGGUAGCGCCUCGUGAAUUCAUCUCCGGGGGUAGAGCACUGUUUCGGCAAGGGGGUCAUCCCGACUUACCAACCCGAUGCAAACUGCGAAUACCGGAGAAUGUUAUCACGGGAGACACACGGCGGGUGCUAACGUCCGUCGUGAAGAGGGAAACAACCCAGACCGCCAGCUAAGGUCCCAAAGUCAUGGUUAAGUGGGAAACGAUGUGGGAAGGCCCAGACAGCCAGGAUGUUGGCUUAGAAGCAGCCAUCAUUUAAAGAAAGCGUAAUAGCUCACUGGUCGAGUCGGCCUGCGCGGAAGAUGUAACGGGGCUAAACCAUGCACCGAAGCUGCGGCAGCGACGCUUAUGCGUUGUUGGGUAGGGGAGCGUUCUGUAAGCCUGCGAAGGUGUGCUGUGAGGCAUGCUGGAGGUAUCAGAAGUGCGAAUGCUGACAUAAGUAACGAUAAAGCGGGUGAAAAGCCCGCUCGCCGGAAGACCAAGGGUUCCUGUCCAACGUUAAUCGGGGCAGGGUGAGUCGACCCCUAAGGCGAGGCCGAAAGGCGUAGUCGAUGGGAAACAGGUUAAUAUUCCUGUACUUGGUGUUACUGCGAAGGGGGGACGGAGAAGGCUAUGUUGGCCGGGCGACGGUUGUCCCGGUUUAAGCGUGUAGGCUGGUUUUCCAGGCAAAUCCGGAAAAUCAAGGCUGAGGCGUGAUGACGAGGCACUACGGUGCUGAAGCAACAAAUGCCCUGCUUCCAGGAAAAGCCUCUAAGCAUCAGGUAACAUCAAAUCGUACCCCAAACCGACACAGGUGGUCAGGUAGAGAAUACCAAGGCGCUUGAGAGAACUCGGGUGAAGGAACUAGGCAAAAUGGUGCCGUAACUUCGGGAGAAGGCACGCUGAUAUGUAGGUGAAGCGACUUGCUCGUGGAGCUGAAAUCAGUCGAAGAUACCAGCUGGCUGCAACUGUUUAUUAAAAACACAGCACUGUGCAAACACGAAAGUGGACGUAUACGGUGUGACGCCUGCCCGGUGCCGGAAGGUUAAUUGAUGGGGUCAGCGCAAGCGAAGCUCUUGAUCGAAGCCCCGGUAAACGGCGGCCGUAACUAUAACGGUCCUAAGGUAGCGAAAUUCCUUGUCGGGUAAGUUCCGACCUGCACGAAUGGCGUAAUGAUGGCCAGGCUGUCUCCACCCGAGACUCAGUGAAAUUGAACUCGCUGUGAAGAUGCAGUGUACCCGCGGCAAGACGGAAAGACCCCGUGAACCUUUACUAUAGCUUGACACUGAACAUUGAGCCUUGAUGUGUAGGAUAGGUGGGAGGCUUUGAAGUGUGGACGCCAGUCUGCAUGGAGCCGACCUUGAAAUACCACCCUUUAAUGUUUGAUGUUCUAACGUGGACCCGUAAUCCGGGUUGCGGACAGUGUCUGGUGGGUAGUUUGACUGGGGCGGUCUCCUCCUAAAGAGUAACGGAGGAGCACGAAGGUUGGCUAAUCCUGGUCGGACAUCAGGAGGUUAGUGCAAUGGCAUAAGCCAGCUUGACUGCGAGCGUGACGGCGCGAGCAGGUGCGAAAGCAGGUCAUAGUGAUCCGGUGGUUCUGAAUGGAAGGGCCAUCGCUCAACGGAUAAAAGGUACUCCGGGGAUAACAGGCUGAUACCGCCCAAGAGUUCAUAUCGACGGCGGUGUUUGGCACCUCGAUGUCGGCUCAUCACAUCCUGGGGCUGAAGUAGGUCCCAAGGGUAUGGCUGUUCGCCAUUUAAAGUGGUACGCGAGCUGGGUUUAGAACGUCGUGAGACAGUUCGGUCCCUAUCUGCCGUGGGCGCUGGAGAACUGAGGGGGGCUGCUCCUAGUACGAGAGGACCGGAGUGGACGCAUCACUGGUGUUCGGGUUGUCAUGCCAAUGGCACUGCCCGGUAGCUAAAUGCGGAAGAGAUAAGUGCUGAAAGCAUCUAAGCACGAAACUUGCCCCGAGAUGAGUUCUCCCUGACUCCUUGAGAGUCCUGAAGGAACGUUGAAGACGACGACGUUGAUAGGCCGGGUGUGUAAGCGCAGCGAUGCGUUGAGCUAACCGGUACUAAUGAACCGUGAGGCUUAACCUUACAACGCCGAAG
rnacentral:rRNA from 1 species